UAUGAGUCUUUGUCUUUGUGUC
rnacentral:siRNA from 1 species